rnacentral:lncRNA from 1 species
CUUUAAGAUGCAUAGUCCAGAGGGCAUGGGGUUUGGGCGAAAGGCGGCAAAGGCCUCCCUAUCAGCAGGAUCACUGUGAGCUCCUGCUCAACAAAUGACAGUGCACACUUCACUGCAGAUUGGAUGCUUUCUGAACUGGUGGAGGCUCAGGAAGCUGCUCUGAGCUGCCCAGACUGAGCAACUGAAACUAAAAGUGAAGCCGUCAAACGCAGCUUCCUGAGCUUUCAGUUCUGGUUGAUUUGAUGGAGAGUGGGGUGCUAUGUUCUCUAACUGUUUUAUGGCAGGAUCUGUGCACAGGGGUGAGAGUAAAGACUAUUAAGAGAUCAUCCCCACCCUGAAGGAGUUUUCAGUCUAGCAGAGAGACAGACAUGUAAAUAAGUGUG